AACGAACGCUGGCGGCAUGCCUAACACAUGCAAGUCGAACGAAGCCUUCGGGCUUAGUGGCGCACGGGUGCGUAACGCGUGGGAAUCUGCCCUUUGGUUCGGAAUAACAGUUGGAAACGACUGCUAAUACCGGAUGAUGACGAAAGUCCAAAGAUUUAUAGCCAGAGGAUGAGCCCGCGUAGGAUUAGCUAGUUGGUGUGGUAAAGGCGCACCAAGGCGACGAUCCUUAGCUGGUCUGAGAGGAUGAUCAGCCACACUGGGACUGAGACACGGCCCAGACUCCUACGGGAGGCAGCAGUGGGGAAUAUUGGACAAUGGGCGAAAGCCUGAUCCAGCAAUGCCGCGUGAGUGAUGAAGGCCCUAGGGUUGUAAAGCUCUUUUACCCGGGAUGAUAAUGACAGUGCCGGGAGAAUAAGCCCCGGCUAACUCCGUGCCAGCCGCCGCAGUAA
rnacentral:rRNA from 1 species